rnacentral:piRNA from 1 species
CAGAGACAGACGGAGAAAGCGGGA